AAGUUCAAAUCAAAUUCGAACUUAGAUAAGAGUCAGAUUUCAAGUUAAAUUCAAUCCAAUUUGAAUUUGAACUAAAUCAGAAUUUAUCUCAUCCUUUGGGACAUGUAGAGGGGGCGACGAAAUACCUUUUGCAUUGAUUAUUUCUCAAGAAAAUCUAAUAUUUGCAUUGGGAAGAGUGGGGCAUGCGCAAGGGUGGUCGGC
rnacentral:lncRNA from 1 species